rnacentral:rRNA from 1 species
GACGAACGCUGGCGGCGUGCCUAAUACAUGCAAGUUGAGCGCUGAAGGUUGGUACUUGUACCAACUGGAUGAGCAGCGAACGGGUGAGUAACGCGUGGGGAAUCUGCCUUUGAGCGGGGGACAACAUUUGGAAACGAAUGCUAAUACCGCAUAAAAACUUUAAACACAAGUUUUAAGUUUGAAAGAUGCAAUUGCAUCACUCAAAGAUGAUCCCGCGUUGUAUUAGCUAGUUGGUGAGGUAAAGGCUCACCAAGGCGAUGAUACAUAGCCGACCUGAGAGGGUGAUCGGCCAAAUUGGGACUGAGAGACGGCCAAAACUCCUACGGGAGGCAGCAGUAGGGAAUCUUCGGCAAUGGACGAAAGUCUGACCGAGCAACGCCGCGUGAGUGAAGAAGGUUUUCGGAUCGUAAAACUCUGUUGGUAGAGAAGAACGUUGGUGAGAGUGGAAAGCUCAUCAAGUGACGGUAACUACCCAGAAAGGGACGGCUAACUACGUG